rnacentral:misc_RNA from 1 species
AACACCUCAAGAUCUCUAUGAGAUUUUGGAUUUGAGUGAACCCAAUCUAAUUCUUGAAUUAGAGGAGGGUCGCUUGAAAUUCAGGUGCGGCUGAAAUUUUCUUUCUGAGCUAAAAGCAUUAUUCAUUUAGUCCUUUUUACAAGGAUUAUUACCUAUUGCUGCAGCUAAUAUAAAGGAUUGAAGAGUGAGCUGACUGAUGCAGGAAUUUAUCAGUAGCGCAAGCUAUCUGUUAA